CAAUCAUUGAAAUAGAGAUGAAAUAUUUUACUGCAUUUUACUAUUGAUAUAAUGACAUCCUCAAAAUUUCUGGAUAUUUUCAUGGUUCAUACUGUUUUACAAAAUUAUCUAAAACUGCUCUUCUUUUUAUAUUUUUCACCAUUUUUGAAGUUAUUAAGACUUUCCACCUUAGAUUCAUUUCAACAAAACAACCAUGAUUGCGGAUUUUUUUUUCUAAAGAUUACAUGUUUCCCUGAUUAAAAGGGGAUAGAAAAUCAUUCUUCCUGUUAGUGACCCUGGGCAGCUUGGCUCUCUGGUGGAUUCUACUCUUUUCCCCUGCUGUAGUUUGAACUGCAAGAUCUGAUGCUCUGUGAUGUGUUCCUCAGUGAUAGAUCCAUGGACAACUCACUGGAUGUGGCCCUGUGAGGCACUAGAGGGAGACUGGGAGGUGGAGAGAAGAAUCAAGCCAGCCUUGUCUUCUCUUUACCCACUUCCAAUGGCAGUGGCUGUGUGAUGGCCUCAGUUUCCCCAGGGAGGCACCCACGGGUGAGCUACAUCACCUCCAUCACUUCCUCAUGGCACUCACUGGCCUGGUGCAGUGGCUUCCUGCUGACACUGAUCCCUGUGUACUUGCAUUCUCUUUUGGCUCUCUGCCCCUCCCUCACCUGUGCAAUGGUUUUCCUGCAUUAUGUUCUCCCUUGUUAGGUAGAUACAUAGAUACAUAAUAUGGAGACAUAGGUAUAGAGAGAUAUAGAGGUAGAUAUAAAGAUACUUAUAUAUGUUUUAUACGGUUUCUCUUUUCCAGGCAUUUCCCGCGUAAACUCUUAGUCAAUGACUCAAGUCAUGCUAUGAGCAACAAUUUCUGUGUUCCACAUCAUCUACAAGCAACACAAUCUGUGACUCUCCAUCUGCCCCUAGUUAUGCUUUGGCCAGUAAUCCAAUUGCUACCGUCAUGCUUUCCUCUUAAAGAGUCCCUGGAUAUUCCUGCCUAGCUUGAGGGAAGUUACUUCAUUAGGGUGAUUUGGGCACUUGGGGAACCUUUGCCAUCUUUAUGACUUAAAUUUUGACUUACCAAAAUAAAUAAGACAUAUAAGGAAAGAACAUAAAUUUAAUAGAAAAAUUCAACAUAUUUCCCCGUGGAUGUCUUAUUUACAUUAAUUUGGCCUCUCCUUUCUGUCCUACUCACCCCUCCUAAAUAGAAAACAAAGUUAAUUAUUUGAUUGGCUGUAUUAGGGAAAGAAUUAGGGCUGAACCUGUUUGUCUUUUGUUCUCUGUUUAUUUGGAAAUCUGAAAUAGCAUCUAUUCUUGGAUUAUCUGUAUCAUAAAUAUUCAAGGUCAGGGAAGGCUGAAAUCUUCAGUUCAUCAAUAACCAGUUGGGUUCAAUGCAGGGGUGCUGAGCAGGAAGCCCACUUUUGCAGAGGAGGGAGCCGUUGUGUGCAAACAGCCUGAUUAGUAAUAAAGGCAGUGAUUUUGUUGUCUAUCUCUUUGGUUUCUCCCCUAUACAUUAAUUAAUUUAAAUGUGGGGUUAGGGAAGACAUUCAGUAAGUCUUUCGAAACCCUAACAACAGUUUACAGAACAAACAUCACAUUUAACACUUUUUUUUUUUUUUUGAGACAGGGUCUCACGCUGUCACCCAGGCUUGAGGGCAGUGGCACAAUCUCUGCUCACUGCAACCUCUGCCUCCCAGGAUCAGGCUAUUCUAAUGCCUCAGCCUCCAGAGUAGCUAGGAUUACAGGCACCCGCCAUCAUGCCUGGCUGAUUUUUGAAUUUUGAGUAGAGAUGGGGUUUCACCAUAUCGGCCAGGCUGGUAACAUUUAACACUCUUACUGGUAAAUUUAACACACCUAGCCAGAAUCUUUGCAUCCUUUCCUGGGAAUAUCAUGAGAAGAGACUUCAAUUUAUGAUAAUUCUCAAAGGAUAGGUAAAUGACACUUUUCGGUCACGUACCUUGAAAUCACCUCUCAAAAACAUUAAUUAUAAAAAGAAAUGCUCAUAUGAGGAGAGACAGGUAUUAUUGUGUUGCCCUAACCUGUGGCAUUUCUGUGAGAAGGUGCAAGGCCAGGUCCCCACACUGUUUAAGCAUUCAGAAGACAGCAGAUAGCAUGCUCCUCCAUAUCCAUUCACAGCUCCCAAAAAUGCAGUGGUUGGCAUCACAGCCUCAAAGCAUUCAAAAAAAUUUCCAGAAGUUUUGACUUUUCACCCAAAUGGUUUUACCAUUUUCAUCUUAAAAAGGAAGAGCUGGACCUGGCACCACACCAACCAUCAUAUCGUCCUCUUGAGUUGAUCAUUGCCCAUUGGGGAGUGAGAAGCAGGCUAUGAAAGCAAACAGCUUAGCCGUGGUUACUAGACGAGCGGUAAUAUACACCCAGAAGAGAAGGAGAUGGUAGGACCACAGAGAGCAAAGGAUGCAGCCACAGACCAAGGAAUACCACAGGCACCAGAAGCUGGAAGAGCCAAGAAAUGGAUGUUUCCCCAGAGCCUCUGGAGGGAGCAGGCCCUGCUGACACCCUGAGUUUGGCCUAGUGAAACUGACUUCAGACUUCUAGCCUUCAGAACAGGGAAACAAUACAUUUCGGGUUUGUUUAUGGCAAUUUAUCAUAGCAGCGACAGGAAAUUAACUCAUAAAUCACUGGUCCCCAUUUCCUUGCUCAGGUGAAAAAUGUCCCUUGGGUUCACUCUCUUUGGACUUUUGGGGCCCAUUAUGUGCUAGACUGACAACUGCAGGCACAGUCCAUUUUCAUUGCACAGGGGGCAUUGUCUAAACUUACCGGUUUGACUUGACAAAUAAUACAAACAAAAUAAAUUUAGUUUUGACAGACUGAAAUGAAUUGAAUUGGUUGAAGUGAACAUAAAGAACCAUAUGAUUUUUUAAAAAACUACUUCUUAUUUUUUAAAGCCCAACACAGUACUGUGGAUUAUAACAUAUGUAUACAUGUUUGUGGGUAUCUAUACAUGCACAUAUACACACACACACACACACACAUAUAUAUAUAUAUAUAUACACACAUAUAUAUAUGAAUUUUCAACCAAAAUGUGAAGAAAAUUGUAGUUAAAAAUGCCAUAAUUUAUCUUUUACUGGUAAUUUCUAACUUAUCGCUUUAAUUUUCUCUGCCUCCCAAACAUCCUUACUCAAAAAUUGGAGAAGAAAUUUUUAUUUAUCCAUCUAGCUCCUCUUUAUCAUCUUAGUCUGUUCAGCUGCAAUAUCACUACAGCAGGGAUAACACUUUUAAAUAUAAUCUGCUCUAAUCUGCAUAAUUGUCUAACAGAAAACAGACAGGUGGUGCCUUCUCAAUCAGCUUAAGGUCAGUCUCUGAAGCAAACGUCACGAACAUAUGCAAAUCGUCGGCUAAUAUGCUAAAUCAGAGGAUGUGUUUUUAUUAAGAAUUUCGAAUCUGCAAAAUGGUUUCUCCUUGUAUUAUUUUUUCCUGGAAACUUUCAGGUUUUUUCCUUUGUGCUGUAUGUUUAAGCCUGUAUGCUAAUCUUGACUUAAUCCCUAUUCAUCUUUCCAUCAUUAAACACGAUCCUGUCAUUCAGAUGUUUGAAGGCUUAAGAGUGACUGUUUCUACUCUUUUAACUGCAACAAUUUGGCAUCCUGUUUCCCAUAACUGCCAUAUCCAUGUUUUAUGGGAUUUUGAAAAGGUUUCGGGAAGUAUUUUGGACACAGGACAGCCUACUGAAUGAGACUUGGAAAGUGCCCCAAGCAAAGUGGUAGGGGCCAAGAGAAAGCCCAGAAAUGAUUCAUGGUGUGUUCACACCGUGUGGGCUGGCAAGUGCGGGAGACGGCUCUCUGCUAGCAGACUGGAACUAAAUUCUUAGACAUUCCUGGGUUGCCAAACAAUGUCAUCACAGGGGUUCCUAAAGAAGCUGUGAAUUGGAUGUCAGUGUCUUUUGGCUGAAAGGAGAGUUUGUGUCAGACCCCAAGAGGUCUCCUUAGAUACAUUUUUCUAAUUGAGGCUCCUUCUCUUCCCCUGACAAAGAAAAGCAUUGACACCUGUGUAUUCUGCGUGGGGAAGACUUUCAGCUAAGCCAGAUUCCAAGCGGGAGGUUACAGCAGGCUCGGGUGUGGUUUAUUCCCUCUGCCAGUUCAAUACUUUUACCCCACAUUUUCAAAGAAAGUGUGUGUCCUGUCUGGUCCCUGCACACCCUUCCUCCUCACCCAACACUCUGUGGUCCUACAAUUUGACUACUAUUCUUGCUGCUAGAGAGGCCAGGCUACACGGCAUCCAAAGGGGAUCCCAUCGCCACGGCAGACACUUUGGCUACGUCCUGCCCUUCUCUUUCCUUCUCUGACCUUUUAUUUCCAUGGUGAAAAUCCACAGCUCUUUAACACACUCUGCAGCAGCCCAUUUUUAGCUUAAAUAAAAGUGAAGAGAGGAUUUAGUAUUCCAAUCCCACUGCAUUAGUGUCAAAUAUGUUUAUGCUAGUAAGAGGAAAAUAAAUACAUUCUGUCAUACAGAUGCCAUUCAAAUCUAAUGGGACUCAAUUUCAUGCUUUCAAUACUGAGAGGAAGUACCCAGAUUAGCCUCAAAUCAAGAGUGAUUCCUGAAACUUCUCUAUUUGCCACAUGCUAGAUUUCCAGUUUUUUUAUUGUCUUUAUAUAUAUAUUUUUUAAUAGCAACAACACUAGAUACCAUUCUGACAUGCUUUCC
rnacentral:lncRNA from 1 species